GACCUCGUGGCCAAGUGGCACGGCGUCAGUCUCCGAUGACGAGUCUCGAGUUUCAUCCUCGAGUGCCUCGUUAGGAUCAGCUGGAAAUCGUGGGUUCGAUCCCCACCGAGGUCG